rnacentral:rRNA from 1 species
UACGGGGGGGGCAAGCGUUGUUCGGAAUUACUGGGCGUAAAGGGCGCGUAGGCGGCCACCGCAAGUCGGUUGUGAAAUCUCCGGGCUUAACCCGGAAAGGUCAAUCGAUACUGCGGGGCUAGAGUGCAGAAGGGGCAACUGGAAUUCUCGGUGUAGCGGUGAAAUGCGUAGAUAUCGAGAGGAACACCUGCGGCGAAGGCGGGUUGCUGGGCUGACACUGACGCUGAAGCGCGAAAGCUAGGGGAGCGAGCGGG